AAGUCGUAACAAGGUAACCGUAGGUGAACCUGCGGUUGGAUCAUUAACAAAUCAUUUAGGCCCCUGGCUGCCUCAAAAGGGCGAAGGGGGAAAACCUAAACAUUUGUGUGCACCAUAUCUGUCCUUGGCAGUUCGAGUGUCCUGGGUCGCGUAACUGCCUCAGGUACCUACCGAGGCUUUCCUUUCGGGGUUUGCCAAAGUUGGGCUGCCGCUUCUAGAACAAACCUUUUGUAAUUUAUUUUUGCCUGAAUUUGUUUGAUCUUCAUGAUUGAAUUUAAAUACAACUUUUGACAACGGAUCUCUUGGCUCUC
rnacentral:misc_RNA from 1 species